CAUAUAGGUUGUAGGGAACUGAAAAGGGACCGACCCUUCGGGAGCCUAUACAGGUGUUGCAUGGCUGUCGUCAGCUCGUGUCGUGAGAUGUUCGGUUAAGUCCGCUAACGAGCGCAACCCUCGUCGUAUGUUAUAUGUGUCAUACGAGACUGCCGGUAAAAGCCGGAGGAAGGUGAGGAUGAUGUCAAGUCAGCAUGACCUUUAUAUCCAGGGCUACACACACGCUACAAUGGUCUGUACAAUGGGUAGCCAAGCUGCGAGGCGGAGCCAAUCCUGAAAGCAGGCCUCAGUUCAGAUUGCAGUCUGCAACUCGACUGCAUGAAGCCGGAGUUGCUAGUAACCGCAGGUCAGCAAUACUGCGGUGAAUACGUUCCCGGGUCUU
rnacentral:rRNA from 1 species